rnacentral:rRNA from 1 species
AAUCAACGCUGGCGGCGUGCCUAACACCUGCAAGUCGAACGAGAAAGUGGAGCAAUCCAUGAGUAAAGUGGCGCACGGGUGAGUAACACGUGACUAACCUACCCUGGAGUGGGGGAUAACUGAGGGAAACCUUAGCUAAUACCGCAUAAUACCCACGGGUCAAAGGAGCAAUUCGCUUCAGGAGGGGGUCGCGGCCGAUUAGUUAGUUGGCGGGGUAAUGGCCCACCAAGACAGUGAUCGGUAUCCGGCCUGAGAGGGCGCACGGACACACUGGAGCUGAAACACGGUCCAGACUCCUACGGGAGGCAGCAGUGGGGAAUUUUGCGCAAUGGGGGAAACCCUGACGCAGCAACGCCGCGUGGAGGAUGAAGUACUUCGGUACGUAAAACUCCUUUCGAUCGGGACGAUUAUGACGGUACCGGAAGAAGAAGCCCCGGCU